AGAGUUUGAUCAUGGCUCAGAACGUACGCUGGCGGCACGCCUUAUACAUGCAAGUCGAACGAAGUAGCAAUACUUAGUGGCAGACGGGUGAGUAACAUGUAGGUAUCUUCCCUUUGGUGAGGAAUAACACGAGGAAACUUGUGCUAAUACCUCAUAAGUCUUUACGGAGAAAGCUUUAUGCGCCAUUGGAUGAGCCUGCACUUGAUUAGUUUGUUGGUGGGGUAAUGGCCUACCAAGACUUUGAUCAAUAGCUGAUCUGAGAGGAUGAUCAGCCACAUUGGGACUGAGACACGGCCCAAACUCCUACGGGAGGCAGCAGUAGGGAAUAUUGCACAAUGGAGGAAACUCUGAUGCAGCGAUGCCGCGUGAGUGAAGAAGGCCCUUGGGUUGUAAAGCUCUUUCGUCGGGGAAGAAAAUGACUGUACCCGAAUAAGAAGGUCCGGCUAACUUCGUGCCAGCAGCCGCGGUAAUACGAAGGGACCUAGCGUAGUUCGGAAUUACUGGGCUUAAAGAGUUCGUAGGUUGUUAAAAAAGUUGGUGGUGAAAUCCCAGAGCUCAACUCUGGAACUGCCAUCAAAACUUUUUAGCUAGAGUAUGAUAGAGGAAAGCAGAAUUUCUAGUGUAGAGGUGAAAUUCGUAGAUAUUAGAAAGAAUACCAAUUGCGAAGGCAGCUUUCUGGAUCAUUACUGACGCUGAGGAACGAAAGCAUGGGUAGCGAAGAGGAUUAGAUACCCUCGUAGUCCAUGCCGUAAACGAUGUGUGUUAGACGUUGGAAAUUUAUUUUCAGUG
rnacentral:rRNA from 1 species